rnacentral:tRNA from 1 species
GAAUAUGAAGCAAUACUUGCAAUUAGUUUCGACCUAAUAAUAUGAUAUUAAAUUAUCCUUAUUCU